UGAUUAAAUGCAAAAUAAGACAGGAGAGAAGAAGUAGAUGAGAAGGGCAGAGAAUAGAGGGAAUGAGAGAAAGAGAACAGAAGGCAAAGGGAAAGGUGUAGAAUACUGAAAAGAUGUUGCUGUGUAAUGGAA